rnacentral:rRNA from 1 species
UUGAACGCUGGCGGCAUGCUUUACACAUGCAAGUCGAACGGCAGCACGGGGGCAACCCUGGUGGCGAGUGGCGAACGGGUGAGUAAUAUAUCGGAACGUACCCAAGAGUGGGGGAUAACGUAGCGAAAGUUACGCUAAUACCGCAUACGAUCCAAGGAUGAAAGUGGGGGAUCGCAAGACCUCAUGCUCCUGGAGCGGCCGAUAUCUGAUUAGCUAGUUGGUGAGGUAAAGGCUCACCAAGGCCACGAUCAGUAGCUGGUCUGAGAGGACGACCAGCCACACUGGAACUGAGACACGGUCCAGACUCCUACGGGAGGCAGCAGUGGGGAAUUUUGGACAAUGGGCGCAAGCCUGAUCCAGCAAUGCCGCGUGAGUGAAGAAGGCCUUCGGGUUGUAAAGCUCUUUUGUCAGGGAAGAAACGGUAGGGGCUAAUAUCCCUUGCUAAUGACGGUACCUGAAGAAUAAGCACCGGCUAACUACGU